rfam:Glossina fuscipes fuscipes unplaced genomic scaffold Scaffold291, whole genome shotgun sequence.
AGGUCCCACCAUCGGAAGCCUGCUAAGGACAACCAGCCACCGCAAAAUAGUACUUAGCGGUGGUUCCGCGCGGGAGACUGGUGAAAGAAGCUUGUAGGAGUGUAGGUUUUAGUACGUAGGCGCCAUGGAUGGCGAAUCGUGCAUACUACUACUAAGAACCAGCAGUAUCUUUUGAAGAUUUUCUACCUACAGCUUGC